UACGGGGGGAGCAAGCGUUGUUCGGAUUUACUGGGCGUAAAGGGCGCGUAGGCGGUCGUGACAAGUCACUUGUGAAAUCUCCGGGCUUAACUCGGAACGGUCAAGUGAUACUGUCGGACUAGAGUACAGAAGGGGCAACUGGAAUUCUCGGUGUAGCGGUGAAAUGCGUAGAUAUCGAGAGGAACACCGGUGGCGAAGGCGGCAUCCUGGACCGGCAUUGACGCUGAGGAGCGAAAGCCAGGGGAGCAAACGGG
rnacentral:rRNA from 1 species